rnacentral:rRNA from 1 species
AUACGUAGGGGGCGAGCGUUGUCCGGAAUGAUUGGGCGUAAAGGGCGCGUAGGCGGCCUGUUAAGUCUGGUGUGAAAGUCCUGUUUUCAAGAUGGGAAUUGCUUUGGAUACUGAUGGGCUUGAGUGCAGGAGAGGUUAUCGGAAUUCCCGGUGUAGCGGUGAAAUGCGUAGAGAUCGGGAGGAACACCAGUGGCGAAGGCGGGUAACUGGACUGCAACUGACGCUGAGGCGCGAAAGUGUGGGGAGCAAACAGGAUUAGAUACCCUGGUAGUCCACACUGUAAACGAUGAAUGCUAGGUGUAAGAGGUAUCGACCCCUUUUGUGCCGGAGUUAACACAAUAAGCAUUCCGCCUGGGGAGUACGGCCGCAAGGUUGAAACUCAAAGGAAUUGACGGGG